UUUGAGAUCAUUAAGACAUGAGUUUCCAUAACACUCUACUAGAUUUUAUGUUAGGCCAAAAAAAAUAAGCAAAUACUUGAAGUCUUGAAUCCUACUUAUAGUCUUUUUACUUACAUUUAACGUGGUAGGUUAGGUUAGGUUAUUGGGUUGGUAGGUAAUUUGAUCAGUAACUCAUCAUACAUAGGUACGUAUAGUAUAGUUU